CCAAAGACACUAAAUGUCACCUCCUCAUUAGCACGGCAAAACAAAAUGGUAAAUCAAAUACAUAGAAGAAUAAAAUUGUGCCAAGAAUUAGCAAGAAACUUAAAACUGGAACAUAUACUGCAAUAACAUAAAAUAUUUCAACAGCUUGUUUGAUCCCAAAUAUCUAAUAAGUGAAACAGAAUAACUGAAACAAAAGAAAUUAAAAAAUGGCACAUAACCAACCUAAAAGAAUGAAGCACCCGAAAGGGAUAUCAUAGCUAAAUUUUGUAUCGAUAAAAGACGCAGACCCAAUACAUGCCUAGUAAACCUUGUAUUGACUUAUAUGACCCAAUUCAUUGACUUUUAAGUCCAUAUUUGGAACAUCACCAUAAAUUUAUAAGCACUACGGCAUUGAAGAAGCAAGCUCACUUUCAUUCCAGGAAUCAGAGGAAGGCAUUCUGUCCGGUAAUGAAGUUAGAAGUUUCCGGCUUGCUUUCUCUCUUCUCUUGCAGUUGGCAGUCUCAGUCAACCUUGUUCCGGGCCUUCUCUUCUAUGAUGAAUUAAAAUCACUGAUAACACCCAAACAACAAAAUCUCACUCAAGCAAGCCUGCGUGCUAAACAUAGGAACAAAUAAUCAAAGACCCAUAAGUAUUCAGCUAAAGAAAGCAAAACACGGCCAUAUAUUGUUGAAUCAAUAUGUAAAUGAAAGGAGAUGCACCUUUGUAUAAAUGAGAUAAACCCAGAAUCAGGACUUUGACCGGAACAGAUGGAGUGAAAACCAGAUCUGAAAGCGACCCCGGCGAAACCUCGGACGCGAAACCACUCAGGCGACCUCGAAGCUUACCAAACCGAAACUCGAAACUACAGUGGCUCUAUGUUGAGGCGUAGCAGAUUUUGGGUGGUUUUGACUGCUUUUUCGACCUCGAGUUGAUUUUAGAACUGUUUGGCACUAUUUUUCGCUGCAGCUUUUGAGUGUUUUUGAGGGGUGAUUUCAAUCUAUUUUUGGGGUAAUUUGGAGCUGAAGAAAUGGCUAUGAUCGUUUGGUUCGAACGCAGACCAAGCAACGGACAACUGCUCGGAUGGAGCUGGAACGAAGGCUGUUUGAUAGUGACAGUGGUGAGAGCUGCUCCCGUGUGGAAGGUGGUCGUGGAGGUGGACGACGCCGACGAGGGCUGGGUCGAAGGUGUCGUUUAGAGGCAGAAGGCUGGUGGGAUUAUGGAGGUUAGGAUUUUGUGAUUAGGGUCUCAUGGAGAAGAUCCAGAAGCCAUGGUCUUCCAAAAAAUCUGUUCUCCUCCUAAAAUCUCCAUCUCCUCCUACCUAUUUCGAAAUCUAAUAUCUAAUGUGAUAUGUGUAUUUGUUCUUUUUAAAAAAGUCUCACCGACUUGUCAAUCACGUGUAGUGCCCCUUGUAAGAUAUAUGGAUUUAUAUCUAGAUAUAUGGACUUAUAUCUACACACAUAUGAACA
rnacentral:lncRNA from 1 species